GAAACCACCAGGACGUCCUGUGCGGGCAACUCAACAAGCCUCUAUAACCAUGUGGGGGCAAAUUAAGUCACUCUGCCACCAAGCGCAGGGAAUAGCUUCUCUACAGGGAUCUUCAGCCUCUCCUGAAAAGGUUUUUAUUGCUAUUCUUGCUUUAUUAUCUUGCCAGGUAAGUGCUACCCCUUCUACAUUGGAAAAAUAAUGGGCAUAUUUCCCUGAUCCCCCGACCUUCCAAGUAGUUACUUGGAACAGGACCCUAUAUGGGUCCACACAAACCAGCCUCAUCUCUUGGGAGGAUCCUCCACUUCCUAUGAUAAAGAUCAUUAUCCUAUUAAUUUUAAUUAUACCUUUAGGGGAUUAACAGAUGAUCUUCCAGUUUGCUUUAACUUCCCUUCUAGCCAUACAAAAAGCUUUAUUAUUCCCACUAAAAACGGAUGUAUUGGAGCCUUCAAAAAGGCAAUUCUGACAGAUUCCCCAACAUCAAAAUUUACAUAUAAAAAAGGGGACUGGUCAGUUUGGAUAUUACAAGCUCGUAUGCCCAGGGUCCUUGACCCCUAUAAAUCCUUGUUUUUCAACGCUCCACCGAAAUAUCCAAAUUGUAUUGAUGUUGCUCCUUUAGACAUCGUAGGGAAAACUAUUGACCACCGCCUAGGAUACCCGCCAACAGAUGGCACCAUAAUCAAUUUGUUCCCCCCAUGUUGUCCUAUACAGCUAAGGGCAAGACCUGAUGGCAACCAGAAAUUUGGAAAGCCCUUGCUGCCACCUCUCUUGUCACCCUAUCCCGGCCAGAAAACGACUCUACCUAUUCUGUACUUGCCUGCUUACCCUCCCCUUACACUUUUCUAUGCACUAACGACUCCAAAAGGCUUCAUAUACAGAUGA
rnacentral:lncRNA from 1 species